rnacentral:rRNA from 1 species
AUUGAACGCUGGCGGAAUGCUUUACACAUGCAAGUCGAACGGCAGCAUAGGUGCUUGCACCUGAUGGCGAGUGGCGAACGGGUGAGUAAUACAUCGGAACGUGCCCAGUCGUGGGGGAUAACGUAGCGAAAGUUACGCUAAUACCGCAUACGAUCUACGGAUGAAAGCGGGGGACCGUAAGGCCUCGCGCGAUGGGAGCGGCCGAGGUCAGAUUAGGUAGUUGGUGGGGUAAAGGCCCGCGAAGCCAACGAUCUGUAGCUGGUCUGAGAGGACGACCAGCCACACGGGGACUGAGACACGGCCCAGACUCCUACGGGAGGCAGCAGUGGGGAAUUUUGGACAAUGGGCGCAAGCCUGAUCCAGCCAUUCCGCGUGCAGGAUGAAGGCCUUCGGGUUGAAAACUGCUUUUGUACGGAACGAAAAGCUCUGGGUUAAUACCCCGGGGUCAUGACGGUACCGUAAGAAUAAGCACCGGCUAACUACGUGCCAGCCGCCGCCGUAA